GGAUACAAAAGAAACACACUCUUUGAACGUUAUAAUAGAAGUAAGUAUUCUUUUAUUUGUGACCUUUUGUCACCUUCAACUUCUUAACAAUUUUAUAACACAUAUACAAGCAAUUCAACUACAUAAAAUAUUCAACGAAAGACGACAUCGGGUAGCGUUCUGAGCUAGUCUUGGCGGCAGCAUCCAACAUUCUCCCCCCCCAGUGCACAGCGUAAACGAACACAGCUUCUAUCAUUUAAUGUACAUGAAAGUAAUACAAAAUAUUAUUAAUACAAAUUUUAAAUGAUUUAAAUAGUUGUAGUGAUUAUGUUUGAUGACAUGGGAUAUAGGCCCAGGUUGUGGUUUAUGAUUAUUCUAUUACAUUUCGAUACUCGAAAUAUAUUUGUCAUCUCGUAUUAAUAAUUAUAUGUCACUUAUUUUUAUUUGUUGUGUUGAUCUUGUAUUGUUUUUCUCCGCGGUAAAUUUUAAAUAUUUGUUUUAACUGUGUUUCGUAUUAAUUUUUAAUUAUUUAUAAAACUAAAACCAACUAUAUUUAUUUUAAAGAAUGACUUGACCUUGACUUUGGUGGCUUAGAAGCUGAAGCUUGCCGACAGCUAUGGCUGUGAAUUAUUUUGGCCAAUUUAUGUUAUAUAUAUAUGUUAAAUAUUUUCGUUUGAAAUUUUAAAGGUCCGUUAUUGGUUUCGGUGUUUUUUUUGUAGUUUAUUUUUUUUUUUGAUUUAAUUUAUAAUUUUAUUGAAUGAUAAUUAAUUAAUUAAUGUGUGUAGUUUAAUUUAUUGAUACGGGUGUUAUAAAUAUUGUAUUUAGUUAAAUCUGAAUGUAUGGGAGGUAGUAGUUUAAGUUUUAUAAUAUUGUGUGUGUUCUUAUUAUGUUAAUAUGUUUUGUUAUUGUGAUUUCAGGUGAGAUGCGAUGGGUGAGUUGGUAAAAUAUUUGUGUUAUAUAUUUUAAUAAUCAUUUGGUUUUUCCUUCAGGUUUUGUGUACAGGUUUGGAGUGCUGGACUUUUACCAGUAUAAACACUAUUGGACAACUCCUGAUUUGAUCUGGUAUGUUUCCCUUUUAUAAUUUUAUUUAUAUAUUUGAUUUUAAUUUCAAUUUUAUUGAUUUUAAAUUUUGUAUAUUUUAUUGGUUUGAAUGUGAUGAAUGUUUUAUUUGAGCGUGUGUGAGUUCUUUUAAUUUAUUGAAAUUAUUUUAUUUAAAAUUAUUAAUUUUACAAUUUUA